rnacentral:rRNA from 1 species
GACGAACGCUGGCGGCGUGCUUAACACAUGCAAGUCGAACGGAAAGGCCCUGCUUUUGUGGGGUGCUCGAGUGGCGAACGGGUGAGUAACACGUGAGUAACCUGCCCUUGACUUUGGGAUAACUUCAGGAAACUGGGGCUAAUACCGGAUAGGAGCUCCUGCUGCAUGGUGGGGGUUGGAAAGUUUCGGCGGUUGGGGAUGGACUCGCGGCUUAUCAGCUUGUUGGUGGGGUAGUGGCUUACCAAGGCUUUGACGGGUAGCCGGCCUGAGAGGGUGACCGGCCCAAUUGGGAUACGGGAGGGGCCAGGACGCCAGCGGGGGGAAGGGGUGGAAGUAUUAGGAAGAUGGGCGGAGGGCGGGAGGAAGGCCGCCGGGGGGGGAAGGACUGCUUUUGGGGUGGAACACCUUUUGGCUUGUAAAGAGGCGUGGUGACGGUAAAUGGGGAAAAAGGCACGGCUUACUUCGUG